GCAGUUGGCAUAGUGGUUUGAGUGUUGGGCUGUGACCCUGGAAACCAGGGUUCAAUUCCCCGCUUGACCA
rnacentral:tRNA from 1 species